GGCUGGUCCAAGUGCAGCAGUGUUUACAACUGACUGAUCCCAACCAGUUACAGAUUCCUUUGUUCCUCUCCAUUCCCACUGCUUCCUUGACUAGCCUUAA
rnacentral:Y_RNA from 1 species